rnacentral:rRNA from 1 species
AUUGAACGCUGGCGGCAUGCUUUACACAUGCAAGUCGAACGGUAACAGGGUGCUUGCACCGCUGACGAGUGGCGAACGGGUGAGUAAUGCGUCGGAACGUGCCGAGUAGUGGGGGAUAACGCAUCGAAAGGUGUGCUAAUACCGCAUACGUACUGAGGUAGAAAGUGGGGGACCUUCGGGCCUCACGCUAUUCGAGCGGCCGACGUCUGAUUAGCUAGUUGGUGAGGUAAAGGCUCACCAAGGCGACGAUCAGUAGCGGGUCUGAGAGGAUGAUCGGACACACUGGGACUGAGACACGGCCCAGACUCCUACGGGAGGCAGCAGUGGGGAAUUUUGGACAAUGGGCGCAAGCCUGAUCCAGCCAUGCCGCGUGUCUGAAGAAGGCCUUCGGGUUGUAAAGGACUUUUGUCCGGGAGCAAAUGCCUGGUGUUAAUAGCACUGGGAGCUGAGAGUACCGGAAGAAUAAGCACCGGCUAACUACGUGCCAGCCGCCGCGGUAACAC